rnacentral:rRNA from 1 species
UGGGGAAUUUUGGACAAUGGGCGAAAGCCUGAUCCAGCAAUGCCGCGUGUGUGAAGAAGGCCUUCGGGUUGUAAAGCACUUUUGUCCGGAAAGAAAUCCUUGGCUCUAAUACAGUCGGGGGAUGACGGUACCGGAAGAAUAAGCACCGGCUAACUACGUGCCAGCAGCCGCGGUAAUACGUAGGGUGCAAGCGUUAAUCGGAAUUACUGGGCGUAAAGCGUGCGCAGGCGGUUUGCUAAGACCGAUGUGAAAUCCCCGGGCUCAACCUGGGAACUGCAUUGGUGACUGGCAGGCUAGAGUAUGGCAGAGGGGGGUAGAAUUCCACGUGUAGCAGUGAAAUGCGUAGAGAUGUGGAGGAAUACCGAUGGCGAAGGCAGCCCCCUGGGCCAAUACUGACGCUCAUGCACGAAAGCGUGGGGAGCAAACAGGAUUAGAUACCCUGGUAGUCCACGCCCUAAACGAUGUCAACUAGUUGCUGGGGAUUCAUUUCCUUAGUAACGUAGCUAACGCGUGAAGUUGACCGCCUGGGGAGUACGGUCGCAAGAUUAAAACUCAAAGGAAUUGACGGGGUCAUAGCUGUUUCCU